GACGAACGCUGGCGGCGUGCCUAAUACAUGCAAGUCGAGCGAAGUUUUUCUGGUGCUUGCACCGGAAAAACUUAGCGGCGAACGGGUGAGUAACACGUAAAGAACCUGCCUCAUAGACUGGGACAACUAUUGGAAACGAUAGCUAAUACCGGAUAAUAGCAUUAACUGCAUGGUUGAUGUUUAAAAGUUGGUUUUGCUAACACUAUGAGAUAGCUUUGCGGUGCAUUAGCUAGUUGGUGGGGUAAAGGCCUACCAAGGCGACGAUGCAUAGCCGACCUGAGAGGGUGAUCGGCCACACUGGGACUGAGACACGGCCCAGACUCCUACGGGAGGCAGCAGUAGGGAAUCUUCCGCAAUGGGCGAAAGCCUGACGGAGCAACGCCGCGUGAGUGAAGAAGGAUUUCGGUUCGUAAAGCUCUGUUGUUAGGGAAGAAUGAUUGUGUAGUAACUAUACACAGUAGAGACGGUACCUAACCAGAAAGCCACGGCUAACUACGUG
rnacentral:rRNA from 1 species